rnacentral:misc_RNA from 1 species
GGUUGAUGACAAGUCCCAUCGUUAUUCCAUUGAAGUUUAUGAGAAGUUGAGGGAAGUUAUUCAUCAAGCUUCCUUGUUUGGAUAUGUAGGAGAUGAGUCUAUUUCAUCACUGGAUGUGCUUUCUACCACAGAGACCUUAAAGACUUCAUGUACAUAUCAUAGUGAGAAACUUGCAAUUGCAUUUGGAUUGGCAAGAAUUUCA